CACCAUAAUUUUUUUUAUAUCAGCAAAUGAAAGUGUUGUGGCAUUGAGCCUGUUCCUUCUGUGUGAGCUGAGGGGUCUCAAGCCCCCCGAAUCCUCAAUGCCAGCACUUAGGUUUUCCUCUGGUUUUCCCUGAAAGAUAAUAAGUCCCUCAAUGGUCCAUUUGCCUUUGUGGACUCAGCCCUCCACACAGGACCCAGCCCAGAGAAAACACUUGACGAAUGCAGAGAGAAGAACGAACCGGUGCAUGGAAGGACAUGGGAAUUAUUUUAACAGCUCUUAUGGCCACCUGG